rnacentral:lncRNA from 1 species
GGGGCAUGAACAUGGCUCACUGCACCCUUGACCUUCUGGGCUCAAGCGAUCCUCUUGCCUCAGGCUUCUGUUUAGCUGGGGCCACAGGCGGGCACCAAAAUGCCUGGCUAAUUUUUUUGUUUUUAUUUUGGUAGAGACGAGGUCUCACUUUGUUGCCCAUGCUGUUCUCAAACUUCUCGGCUCAAGUGAUCCUCCCACCUCGGCCUCCCAAAGUGCUGUGUUACAGGCAUAAGCCACCGCACCUGGUCUCUACUUUGUUCUUACUCUUCUUCCUGACUCUGUGAUCAGCUCUUUUUCCUCAUUGACAUCUCUUAUCACCAGCAGAGGCCUACCACUAGACACCAGGACUCAUAGUCUUGGGCAAGAGCAUCUG